GACGAACGCUGGCGGCGUGCUUAACACAUGCAAGUCGAACGGAAAGGCCCUGCUUUUGUGGGGUGCUCGAGUGGCGAACGGGUGAGUAACACGUGAGUAACCUGCCCUUGACUUUGGGAUAACUUCAGGAAACUGGGGCUAAUACCGGAUAGGAGCUCCUGCUGCAUGGUGGGGGUUGGAAAGUUUCGGCGGUUGGGGAUGGACUCGCGGCUUAUCAGCUUGUUGGUGGGGUAGUGGCUUACCAAGGCUUUGACGGGUAGCCGGCCUGAGAGGGUGACCGGCCACAAUAGGACUGAGAUACGGCCCAGACUCCUACGGGGGGCAGAAGUGGGGAAUAUUGCACAAUGGGCGGAAGUCUGAUGCAGCAACGCCGCGUGCGGGAUGACGGCCUUCGGGUUGUAAACCGCUUUCGCCUGUGACGAAGCGUGAGUGACGGUAAUGGGUAAAGAAGCACCGGCUAACUACGUG
rnacentral:rRNA from 1 species